GUGUCAGCAGCCGCGGUAAUACGUAGGCAGCAAACGUUGUUCGGAAUUACUGGGCGUAAAGAGUGUGUAGGCGGCUUUAUAAGUUCUGUGUGAAAUCUCCCGGCUCAACUGGGAGGGUGCGCCGAAUACUGCAAGGCUUGAGUACUGGAGAGGAUAGCGGAAUUCCUGGUGUAGCGGCGAAAUGCGUAGAUAUCAGGAGGAACACCGGCGGUGUAGACGGCUAUCUGGACAGUAACUGACGCUGAGACACGAAGGCCAGGGGAGCAAACGGGAUUAGAUACCCGGGUAGUCC
rnacentral:rRNA from 1 species